rnacentral:rRNA from 1 species
CCUGGAGACUCCUACGGGAGGCAGCAGUGAGGAAUAUUGGACAAUGGUCGGAAGACUGAUCCAGCCAUGCCGCGUGCAGGAAGACGGCCUUAUGGGUUGUAAACUGCUUUUGCAGGGGAAGAAUAAGGACUACGCGUAGUUUGAUGACGGUACUCUGCGAAUAAGCAUCGGCUAACUCCGUGCCAGCAGCCGCGGUAAUACGGAGGAUGCGAGCGUUAUCCGGAAUCAUUGGGUUUAAAGGGUCCGUAGGCGGGCUAAUAAGUCAGAGGUGAAAGCGCUCAGCUCAACUGAGCAACUGCCUUUGAAACUGUUAGUCUUGAAUGGUUGUGAAGUAGUUGGAAUGUGUAGUGUAGCGGUGAAAUGCUUAGAUAUUACACAGAACACCGAUAGCGAAGGCAUAUUACUAACAAUUAAUUGACGCUGAUGGACGAAAGCGUGGGGAGCGAACAGGAUUAGAUACCCUUGUAGUCCUAG